UUUUUUUAGAAACGUGUAUUUAUUCGUUGUGAUAAAAACUGCUUCAUUGCUGUAUUUAACACUAUUUUUUUAUUAUGUUUAAAAAUUUGAAAAAACAUUUUCAGAAGUCGAAAUACAUUUAAGAGAAAAAUUACAAAAAAUUUGAAAUAUUCAUGAAAUAAAAAUGAUUAAUUUCAAAUAAUACGAAAGUUCACUACAAAAUCUCAAAAUUUGGACCCACAGGUUCAGGCUAGUUUUCAGUAAACCUUUGAAUAGAAACUGCUGAUUUUGGAGACGUUACAAAAUACGCAAUAACAAAAGACCUAACUAGCAGAGCGAUAGACGACGUUAGAAGACAUCUAAGAGAUAUUUAUAUAUAUGAUGAUAGACGAGUUAGGAAUAGAAGGUCACACUACUCCUCCAUACAAAAACUAAGCUAAUGGACAAGUGGAAAUAUUUCACUCCUCACUAUUAGAAAUAAUGUGUUCCAUAAAAUAAAACGGUGGACACAGAAAUUUUUGAAAGAGCAGUGUCCGAAUAUAAUUAUUCAGUUCAUUCUACAACAUAAAAAAGACCGGUGGACUUAUUUUUUCAUAGAAAUGUUACUUUUACCCCCACAGACAUAGAAAGAAGCAGGCAAAGUAACCUACAAAAUUUAUCUCAGAAACCAAGCAAGGAUAUCGAAUACCACAACAAGAGUAAGUAAAAAAAUAAAGACAUAUCUACCAGGAAAAAUAAUUUUAAUUAAGUUAAGUAAACCUUACAGUAAAGAGGUAGUUAAAGUACCGUGUUAACUAAAAAAGGACAAAUAAUUCACCAAAAUAAAAUACGCAAUUAAAUAAGAUAAGCAUACUAAAGCUGCAAAAUAAUCGAUGGGACUAUCGAUAGUAUCGAUCGUUUUAUUUUCGUCUCACUAUCGAUUUAUUUUGACUACCGCUGGCUUAUUCCUUACGAAACUUACCAACAAUUUUUACAAAAUUGCAAAAUUCUACAUAAUGAUAUAGUCUGGUAAUACCAAAUAUGAAGUUUAAUUUUGGAUAACAUCCCAGUCAUGGCUACGGAAACUCCAAUACAUUGAAGGAAUUAAAACGGAAACUAACCCAUACACACUGUGCAACUUAUAAGCUCCAUGAGCAUGAACGAUCGCACUUAUAAAGAUUUCUGAUAACGCUGUAGGGCAAUUAACCGGUUUUUUUUCCCGAUUGGUGGCUUGCAGGAAUGGUAGCCUCAAUAUCCCCAUUUCAUUCUUGGCUCGGCUUCGCGCAUGUGGCUUCAAAUUCGAAAGUACACACAAGUUUUAAAAUAAUGUACAAAUUAUUAAAUUUCGCUAUUAAUUACACUUAAAUUAUGUGUUGGGUGCGUUAAAAGAAUGUUGCGGAAAUAUUAAAAUUAGGUAAGAAUUUUUAACGUUCUGAAAUGCGAGCUGUAAAUAACUUUAGUUAUUCAUUCACGCAGUAUUUUAAUAAGAAUUAAGAAAAAUUAUGGAAAAACAAGAAUUGUAAAGUAACCUCCAUUUUAUUUAGGACUCCUGAUUUUAGAGAAUCAUGAAAUUGAAACACAUUAAGUGAACAUUCUGUUGUGAUCGAAUUUCACAAUAUGCAUAUACCUAUACAUACUCAUACAUACACCCAGAGGUAUUAGUCUGCCUACAGUGCGUAUAAACGAAUAUCACGUUAAUUAAUUUUAAUUUUACAUAAUCGCAGAGAAUGUUUAGCCAAGCUGAAUUGCUAAUAUCUGAUAGGAGAACAGCACUAAAGGUUAAAAGCGGAAACAAAUUAUAAUUGUUAAACAAAAACAAGUGGAUGUUGAGGAAUUAAUUUACGUAUAAAUUUAUUGAUCUCAUAUUACAUUUGUAAAUGUAUAAAAAUUUACUUAUAUAAUUACAUGGAAAAUUUUUUAUGUUACGAUAUUAAUUUUAUGUGUUUUCCCGCGUUGUUAAUGUUUUCUUUUAUAAUAAAUCCAUACAAAUUUGUACACAGCCGAGGUCUCAUAAUUUAAAGUAAGUAGAUAUCAAGAGAAAAAACUAUCGAUACUAUCAAUAGUAUUUUUUUAAAAUAACGACUUUUCCGACUAACGAAAUAUACACGGAAACCCUUGAACAUAUUCGGUUGGUUGAAAAGUGCGUAGUGCUCACCAAGAAAUAGCACUACUACCUAUUUUUUCUCAAGUUGGUACAUCUGUCGCGACAACACAUGCAAAGUGACAAGUCAUUCUGUCAAUUAAUUAUUUGUUUACAAGCCAUUUGAAAUCAACGUGUCAGAGUAUUUUUUUAAUGUGGGAAAAAUUUUAUAUCGCGCAAUGAUUUGAUUCUUUGUUUUGAAAGGUUUUAAAACAAAUGAAAUUUUUGAAAAAUUGUAAAAAGUGUAAGUUAAGAUAGCAAGUGUAGCUCGAUCUGCAAUUUCCUUGGCUUCAGUGAGCGGCUUGAUCUUACACUCGACAGUGAGAACCGUUUUUACACAGCGCAUGUGCUCUUACGUGUGCGCUAUAUAAUUUUCACUCGAGCACAGUCGGCAUAGUCUACUAGAAGUUACGACACAACAACGAUCGUCGUGAUCCGAUGGAGUAUCAAUACAUCGCGCUCCACUACCGAAUAAUAGUUAAGUGCUCAAACCGCAAUGCGGCACUUUAGAAGUCGAGAAAUAAUUGUUGCCUCGCUUUACUAACUAAGCUUACCUCGCAAUGCGAAAUGAGUACAUUUGUAAAAUGUAAUAAUGAAGAGUUAACACAUCACAUUCAAUAUGAGAUUGAACGGCUUCUCAGAGAAUCCACUAAGAGAAAAGUUUUGUUUACUUUAGCAUUGCUUCAAAAGGUUGUGAAAUGCGAUGACCAAAAGUGCUGCAGCCCACGCCGGAGUGAUCUGCAUAUGAUUCUUCACGACCGUUUUCUGCCACCUCCUUACCCUAUCACUCAGGUUGAUGGACUUUAUAUUAAAAAAACACCUCACAUUAUUUAUGGACGCCCCCUAAUGGGUAGGUUGAAAGAUUCCAUUCAACGUUAAUGGAAAUAGCCCGUUCCAUCAAACAGCAACAGCAGUUGUGCGAAACUAUAGAUCUCGUACUAUUAGCAACACAUAAGUACAACAGUAUUCACUCCACAACCAAUGUCAAGCCAAUUGAUGUUUUUCAAAAUUGUUCAAAUGAAGAAUUGAAAGUAAUACUCCAAAAAUUGUUUAAAGUGCAAGAGAAAACAUUAAAUAAAUGAAACAAAAAUAAAACGAUGAAAACAUACGAAUCGGACGAGAAGAUAUUUUUGAAAAGUAAUAAACGGCUUGGAAAUAAAUUUUAUUAUAUCUAUGUCGGAAAAGUAGUAGAAUGAGAGCACAGCUCUAAUACAUGGAAAAAAAAUCCAUUAAGGUAAUCUCAGAUGAUAUUUUCCGUUUACGCACACGUUCACAAAAAUUAAAAACCAUUACAAAUAAAUUCAAAAAUUAUAGUGAACACUUUUUAAAUUUCAAAUUAUCAAGUGAAAUGUUAAACCAUAUUGUCAACUAUUCAUAGAGUACAAAUUAAUUGAAUUUGUAACACUAUAAUUGAAAAUGUUAUGAACGCUCAACCAAGCCAUCCCAACUACCAAUACUUUACAAUACCAAUCACAAUUUUUUUAACAACAGUAUGGAGUACUCCAAGCAACAUACGACACCUCUUGAAUACCCCCGCCUAAGCUUAAUGGAUUACCGCAACGAGAACGUUUCGGACUUGACAAGGAGGGUAGUUAAGAUAGAAAGUGUAGCGCCAUCUGCAAUUUCCUUUUCUGAAGUUAGCGGAUUGAUCUUUCACUCGACUCGACUCGACACUCGACACUCGAGUGAGAAUCGUUUUUACACAGCGCAUGCGCUCUUACUUGUGCGCCAUAUCAUUUGCACUCGUCAUAGUCUACUAGAAGUUACGACACAACAACGAUGUCGUGAUUCGAUGGAGUAUCUAUAUAUCACGCUCCACUAGCGAAUAAUGGUUAAGGGCUCAAACCAUAAUGCGGCACUUAAGAAGUCGAGAAAUAAUUAUUGCCUCGCUUUGCUAAUUAAGCUCAACCCGCAAUACGAAAUCGGUACAUUUGUAAAAUGCUUGGUUGGUUGCGCGUAACAUUUGAUCAUAAAGCACAGAAUAAAAUCAACAUUUAAACCCAUCAAUCAAUUGCCAUAUAAAGGCAGAAGUGGAACAGAACUCCAAAAAAAAAAAAAUCGAUGACAUCGAUGGAGUAUUUUACAUAAAAUUACAUCCCAGGACAUCAGCAUCCGUGACAUCGAGGGAAACUUCUCAGCAUCUAUCCCAGUAUAAAUUUAAGUUACAUUGGAGUAAAUUUGUAAGUGAAAAUUAAAAUUGAUAAAGUGUGACUUACAAGCUAUACUUAAAGUUAAAUUUCGAAAAUAAAAAGGCUAUAUUAAUAUUGAAAGUUUACGUUCACACCUCGGAAACUGCUUUAUAAUUAAGCAAAAAUUAAAGUUCAAGUUUCAAGAUUCAAAUUAUUCCCAAAGGUGUGAUCCGAACACGUAAAUACCCCGUUCAUAGUAAAGUUAUAUAAAUAAAAUCUAUAUUGCAUUUUUUAUGGUUAAAAGUUUAAAGUUAUCUUAAAUAAAACUAUUUUUUAAAACCACAUACACUAAAAAUUUAAUAUCCCGAAGAAAUUUAUAUCAUAAAAUUUAGUGAAAACACGUGCGAUUAAAAAGUUUGCAUAAAAUAUAAAAUAGCGGUUUCGAUUGAUAAAGUGCUACAGGCAAUAAGAUCCGCUAAUGAAGAAACUAAGUUAGAACUAGCGGCCCAAAUUAAUAACCUUACUUCAGCUCUGAGACGGCUUGAGCCAACACGUGUCGAGCCAUACUUACCGGUUUCGAUCAAAUUAGUAAUACAUUCGGGAAGUUUCAGUCUUAUUUUAAUAAAAUCUUUGCCUGAAU